rnacentral:rRNA from 1 species
CCUACGGGGGGCAGCAGUGGGGAAUAUUGGGCAAUGGGCGCAAGCCUGACCCAGCAACUCCGCUUUAAUGAAGAAGGCUUUCGGGUUGUAAACUUCUUUUGUCAGGGAAGAGUAGAAGACGGUACCUGACGAAUAAGCCACGGCUAACUACGUGCCAGCAGCCGCGGUAAUACGUAGGUGGCAAGCGUUGUCCGGAUUUACUGGGUGUAAAGGGCGUGUAGCCGGGUUGACAAGUCAGAUGUGAAAUCCUGCGGCUUAACCGCAGAACUGCAUUUGAAACUGUUGAUCUUGAGUACUGGAGAGGCAGACGGAAUUCCUAGUGUAGCGGUGAAAUGCGUAGAUAUUAGGAGGAACACCAGUGGCGAAGGCGGUCUGCUGGACAGCAACUGACGGUGAGGCGCGAAAGCGUGGGGAGCAAACAGGAUUAGAUACCCCAGUAGUC